CAGUAGCCGCGGGAAUACGAAGGGGGCUAGCGUUGCUCGGAAUCACUGGGCGUAAAGGGUGCGUAGGCGGGUCUUUAAGUCAGAGGUGAAAGCCUGGAGCUCAACUCCAGAACUGCCUUUGAUACUGAGGAUCUCGAGUUCGGGAGAGGUGAGUGGAACUGCGAGUGUAGAGGUGAAAUUCGUAGAUAUUCGCAAGAACACCAGUGGCGAAGGCGGCUCACUGGCCCGAUACUGACGCUGAGGCACGAAAGCGUGGGGAGCAAACAGGAUUAGAUACCCCCGUAGUCCAUGUCUCUUAUAC
rnacentral:rRNA from 1 species